rnacentral:rRNA from 1 species
AUGAGUCUCCGCGGCGGAUAUCCCCCCAAAAAGAUAAAGAAACAGAUCCCCAUGGAGAUUCCCUCACUGCACGGAAGCCUUCUUGGACAGCGACCUCACUACCCAGCCGGUAGCAGCGUCGCCUUCCUGGUAGGCACCCGGCGGAUGGGUUCCUGGUGGACCGUCCCGUGCAGUCCGAUGACUGCGUGGCCGCGCUCAUCCAGACGGAGAUGGAGCACAUGCCCGUGGACGGGUACCCCCAGAUGCUGCGGCGGCUCGGGGCCUUGUAUUUGGCCGCCAUCACGAGGGACACCAUAG